rnacentral:rRNA from 1 species
AUUGAACGCUGGCGGCAUGCUUUACACAUGCAAGUCGAACGGUAACAGGCCGCAAGGUGCUGACGAGUGGCGAACGGGUGAGUAAUGCAUCGGAACGUGCCCAGUCGUGGGGGAUAACGCAGCGAAAGCUGCGCUAAUACCGCAUACGAUCUAUGGAUGAAAGCGGGGGACCGUAAGGCCUCGCGCGAUUGGAGCGGCCGAUGUCAGAUUAGGUAGUUGGUGGGGUAAAGGCUCACCAAGCCAACGAUCUGUAGCUGGUCUGAGAGGGAGACCAGCCACACUGGGACUGAGACACGGCCCAGACUCCUACGGGAGGCAGCAGUGGGGAAUUUUGGACAAUGGGCGCAAGCCUGAUUCAGCAAUGCCGCGUGCAGGAAGAAGGCCUUCGGGUUGUAAACUGCUUUUGUACGGAACGAAAAGGCUCUGGAUAAUACCUGGGGCUCAUGACGGUACCGUAAGAAUAAGCACCGGCUAACUACGUGCCAGCCGCCGCCGUAAGAC